rnacentral:rRNA from 1 species
AUGGUGAACACGCCGGUUUUGGCUCUGCCGGAUUUCAGUCGCCCUUUUUCCAUCGAGACGGACGCCUGUGACACCGGUGUGGGCGCUGUCCUGGUACAGGACGGACACCUGGUUGCAUACCUUAGCAAGGCUUUGGGAGUAAAGAAUCAAUGGCUAUCGAUUUACGAGAAGGAAUUCCUCAUGGUGAUGAUGGCGGUGGACAAGUGGCGUGCUUAUCUUCAGAGAGCUCCGUUCGUAAUUGUCACUGACCACAAGUGUUUGUCUCACCUCGGUGACCAACAGCUCGAGACGGAGCUCCAACACAAAGCUAUGUCGAAGAUGGUGGGACUGCAAUUUUCUUUCAAGUACCGGCGUGGAACCGACAAUGGCGCAGCAGACGUCUUGUCCCGCGUCGGGCAUUUGCUCCCUGUCAGUGUGCCAACCACAGUGGCUACAGGAGGUUGCUAA